CCCAGCUGCCGUUGCCCGCCCCGUGGGACUAGGGAUUGCCGGAGAUCUCGGAGAGGACCGGGGCGGGGGAACUUUCAAAGGCCGGAUCGGCGACCCGGAGGGGAAGUGCCGGAGCUCCCCCAGGCAGCAGACAAAACUCUCUGUCUGCCGGUAGCAGAGGGGCCACGCUGAGCACUCAGGGCUCCCGGCAGAGGCCCGGAGAGAAGCCCAGAGGGCGGGGCGACCCCCAGCUGCUGUUGCCCGCCCCGUGGGACUAGGGAUUGCCGGAGAUCUCGGAGAGGACCGGGGCGGGGGAACUUUCAAAGGCGGGUCCGGCGAUCCGGUGGAGAAGCGCCGGAGCUCCGCCCGGGCAGCAGACAAAACUCUCUGUCUGCCGGUAGCAGAGGGGCCACGCUGAGCAUUCAGAGCUCCCGGCAGAGGCCCGGAGAGAAGCCCAGAGGGCGGGGCGACCCCCAGCUGCCGUUGCCCACCCGGUGAGGCUAGGGAUUGCCGGAGAUCUCGGAGAGGACUGGGGCUGGAGAGAGUUCCAGAGACCCAGCUUAGUAGCCUAGGGGGAAACCCUACAGGCUCACAGAAGCCUUAGGGAAAGCCUCUGCACAGCACCAGUAGAAGGCACCCAGCCGCCAGCCACAAGGCUGGAAGACCCCAGGGCAAAAGCAGCAUAGCUAGGUGUACUAACCACAGACUGUAGAAGAUGCCAAUAGCUCUCCUGCGACCCAUAGAGGACAAGUGAGAUUUGGUGGGUGCCGACAGCAACCGAGCGACAAAUAAAAGUGAUCCCACCCCUGGCUGCUGGAAAAGCCCAUAACACCGUUGCAGACCCCAAGGAGAGAGCGCAUCUAGGUGGGCAACAACAGUAGGCACCUGCAGUCUGAAGCCCCCCGUGACGGCCCCCACGGCAGAGGAGGGAAUCCAAAGGGCCACUGUGGCUACGAAGAGGGGCCCAGGCCCAGUUAGCAACUACGGACAGGGUUCCUGGUUGGUGAAGUAUAAACAGCUGCUCCCCCCACCGCAGCAGCUGAAACAAGUGAAAGGAGCAACUAAACUCUAUCUCCAUGCGGAGGCACAAAUCAACAUCAUCAAGCAAUAUGAAAAAAUACAUUAAAUCUCCAGAACAGAAAGAAAGUAACAAAUACACAGAAAACAAUCCCAAAGAAAAUGAGAUAUAUAACCUAAAUGAUGAUGACUUCAAAACAGCCAUCAUUAAAAUACUCACUGAGUUAAGAGAGAAUUCUGACCGACAACUCAACGAGUUCAGGAGCUAUGUCACAAAAGAGUUUGAUACGAUAAAGAAGAACCAAACAGAAAUACUGGAAAUGAAGAACACAAUAGAGGAGAUUAAGAAAAAUCUAGAUGCUCUGAACAGUAGGGCCGAUAAUAUGGAGGAAAGAAUUAGCAAUUUGGAAGAUGGCAAUAUAGAAUUGUUGCAGGCAGAGGAGGAGAGAGAAGCAAGACUUAAAAGAAAUGAAGAAA
rnacentral:lncRNA from 1 species